rnacentral:rRNA from 1 species
GACGAACGCUGGCGGCGUGCUUAAUACAUGCAAGUCGAACGGAAAGACCCUGCUCUUGUGGGGUGCUCGAUUGGCGAACGGGUGAGUAACACGCGAGUAACAUGCCCCUGACUGUGGGAUAACUCCAGGAAACUGGGGCUAUUACCGGAUAUGAGCUCCUGCUGCGUGGGGGGGGUUGGAGAGUUUCGGCGGUUGGGGCUGGAUUCGCUGCUUACCCGCUUGUUUGGGGGGUAGGUGCUUACCAGGCCUACGACGGGUAGCCUGCCUGAGAGGGUGACCGGCCACAUUGGGACUGAGAUACGGCCCAGACUCCUACGUGAGGCAGCAGUGGGGAAUAUUGCACAAUGGGCGGAAGCGUGAUGCAGCAAUGCCGCGUGCGGGAUGACGGCCUUCGGGUUGUAAACCGCUUUCGAAUGUGACGAACCGUGAGUGACGGUAAUGGGUAAAGAAGCAACGGCUAACUACGUG